rnacentral:rRNA from 1 species
GAGUUUGAUCCUGGCUCAGGAUGAACGCUGGCGGCGUGCCUAAUACAUGCAAGUCGAGCGAAUGGAUUAAGAGCUUGCUCUUAUGAAGUUAGCGGCGGACGGGUGAGUAACACGUGGGUAACCUGCCCAUAAGACUGGGAUAACUCCGGGAAACCGGGGCUAAUACCGGAUAACAUUUUGAACCGCAUGGUUCGAAAUUGAAAGGCGGCUUCGGCUGUCACUUAUGGAUGGACCCGCGUCGCAUUAGCUAGUUGGUGAGGUAACGGCUCACCAAGGCAACGAUGCGUAGCCGACCUGAGAGGGUGAUCGGCCACACUGGGACUGAGACACGGCCCAGACUCCUACGGGAGGCAGCAGUAGGGAAUCUUCCGCAAUGGACGAAAGUCUGAUGGAGCAACGCCGCGUGAGUGAUGAAGGCUUUCGGGUCGUAAAACUCUGUUGUUAGGGAAGAACAAGUGCUAGUUGAAUAAGCUGGCACCUUGACGGUACCUAACCAGAAAGCCACGGCUAACUACGUGCCAGCAGCCGCGGUAAUACGUAGGUGGCAAGCGUUAUCCGGAACUAUUGGGCGUAAAGCGCGCGCAGGUGGUUUCUUAAGUCUGAUGUGAAAGCCCACGGCUCAACCGUGGAGGGUCAUUGGAAACUGGGAGACUUGAGUGCAGAAGAGGAAAGUGGAAUUCCAUGUGUAGCGGUGAAAUGCGUAGAGAUAUGGAGGAACACCAGUGGCGAAGGCGACUUUCUGGUCUGUAACUGACACUGAGGCGCGAAAGCGUGGGGGAGCAACAGGAUUAGAUACCCUGGUAGUCC